GCAGAGUGCUUUAACUAACCUUUUAACCAUAAAACCUCCCUUUGAGCUUUCUAUAUCUAACAGACGUGGACUUUCAGUUAAACGGCAUUUUUUUCUUAAGUUUGGUUUCUCAAAAAGAUAUUUAAUAGAACAGAGGAGUUAAAAAGUGAUCAUGUAGAACUUUGGACGUUAAAUUUCAAUCGCCAAUGAAUGUACAUUUUGUAAUGAACGUAUUUUUGCGUAGGAGCAAAA